AUACGGAGGAUCCGAGCGUUAUCCGGAUUUAUUGGGUUUAAAGGGUGCGCAGGCGGCCAUUUAAGUCAGCGGUUAAAUCGUGGGGCUCAACCCCAUUCUGCCGUUGAUACUGGGUGGCUUGAUUGCGGUCGAGGUUGGCGGAAUUCGUUGUGUAGCGGUGAAACGCAUAGAUAUGACGAAGAACACCGAUUGCGUAGGCAGCUGACCAGACCGCAAAUGACGCUCAUGCACGAAAGUGCGGGGAUCGAACAGGAUUAGAUACCCUGGUAGUCCGCACAGUAAACGAUGAAUACUUGUUUUCGGCGAUAUAAUGUCGGAGGCAAAGCGAAAGCGAUAAGUAUUCCACCUGGGGAGUACGCCGGCAACGGUGAAACUUAAAGGAAUUGACGGGG
rnacentral:rRNA from 1 species